UACGUAGGGGGCUAGCGUUGUCCGGAAUCAUUGGGCGUAAGGCGCGUGUAGGCGGCCCGGUAAGUCCGCUGUGAAAACUCGAGGCUCAACCUCGAGAUGUCGGCGGAAACCAUCUGGCUAGAGUCCGGAAGAGGAAAGUGGAAUUCCUGGUGUAGCGGUGAAAUGCGCAGAUAUCAGGAAGAACACCCGUGGCGAAGGCGGCUUUCUGGGACGGUACUGACGCUGAGACGCGAAAGCGUGGGGAGCGAACAGG
rnacentral:rRNA from 1 species